rnacentral:rRNA from 1 species
GGCUCAGGAUGAACGCCGGCGGCGUGCUUAACACAUGCAAGUCGAGGGGGGUGGGGCAACCCACUCACCGGCGAACGGGUGCGUAACACGUAAGCGUCCUACCCUCGAGCGGGGGAUAGCCGGCCCAACGGCCGGGUAAUACCGCAUACGCCUUCCUGGUGGCAUUGCUGGGGAGGGAAACCUGCGGGGCUCGUGGAGGGGCUUGCGGCCUAUCAGCUAGUUGGCGGGGUAACGGCCCACCAAGGCGAUGACGGGUAGCUGGUCUGAGAGGAUGGCCAGCCACAUUGGGACUGAGAGACGGCCCAGACUCCUACGGGAGGCAGCAGUGGGGAAUCUUGCGCAAUGGCCGAAAGGCUGACGCAGCGACGCCGCGUGGAGGAUGACGCCCUUCGGGGUGUAAACUCCUGUUGCCCGGGACGAACGACCUCAUUCGUGAGGUGUGACGGUACCGGGUGAGGAAGCACCGGCUAACUCUGUGCCAGCAGCCGCGGUAAUACAGAGGGUGCGAGCGUUGUCCGGAAUCACUGGGCGUAAAGGGCGCGUAGGCGGCUCGGUAAGCGGGUGGUGAAAGCCCGGGGCUCAACCCCGGGUCGGCCAUGCGAACUGUCGAGCUGGAGCACGGUAGAGGCACAUGGAAUUCCGGGUGUAGCGGUGGAAUGCGUAGAGAUCCGGAAGAACACCGGUGGCGAAGGCGGUGUGCUGGGCCGUAGCUGACGCUGAGGCGCGACAGCGUGGGGAGCAAACAGGAUUAGAUACCCUGGUAGUCCACGCCGUAAACGAUGGGCACUAGGUCCUUGGGGGAGCGACCCCGUGAGGGCCGGCGCUAACGCAUUAAGUGCCCCGCCUGGGGAGUACGGCCGCAAGGCUGAAACUCA